CCCGGCUUAGCUCAGUGGUAGAGCGGGGGACUGUAGAUCCUCAGGUCGCCUGUUCGAGUCAGGCAGCCGGGA
rnacentral:tRNA from 2 species